rnacentral:lncRNA from 1 species
AGGCCUGUGUUGGGGGUUGAGGUGACUGUAAAAGAAGUUUAGCACCUCUAAGCAUUUUAUGGAGGCUUUCUUAUUCCUUCUUUCACCAUGUAAUGUGCCUACGUGCCUCCUCUCCCUUCACCUUAUGCAAUGAUCAUAAGUUUCCUGAGGCCUCCCCAGAAGCCGAGAAGAUGCCAGCAUCAUGCUUCCUGUACAGCCUGCAGAACUAUGAGCCAAUUAAACCUCU